CAGCCAGUAACGGAGCGGUCAAACGCAUCUCCGUAUCAAUAAGACUGUCGCGGGUUUGAAUCCCGUCUGGUUGG
rnacentral:tRNA from 1 species